rnacentral:lncRNA from 1 species
UCCAUAGCCAGAGCUGCCUUGCAAGACAGCAGGGUUCAGGCUUCGAGUUGUGGUGCAAUUGGCCCACAUCCACCCCACCCUCUCUUCACGCAGCAGAUGACUGGGACAUAAAGAAGCUGAUGGGGCCACUGCCACCGAAUUUCCACCUGCAGCCCUUCUCGGGGGCCACCACCAUGCUCCUCAACAGCUGUCACUGACAGGACAGAGCUUGAGGAUCUUGAGGAGCUACUGACCCUGCAGAACCGCUCUGAGACCAGGGGGAGCUUUUCCAGUAGAAUGAAAGGAUUGCUUCUGCUUUAACCUCUGAUGCUUUAUCAAGGCCGAGCUGAGGGCUGCACUAUCGGGAGCUUGGUAAGCUUGGGUGGCUGGC